GCGGACUGCAAAAAGGUGGCGAGGUGAGGACAGGGUCCUGGCCCUGGUCAGGUCCUGUCAACUGUGCUUCGUCCCAGGACCCAGGGAAGGACAAGAAAGACAGUGGUGCUGAUGGCAGGAGGCACACCAGAGCCCAGGGGUGGGGGCAGAAGCACCAGGCAUCUGUCUGGCCCAGGCCGGUCACACUCCCAGAAGCCCUCUGCCUCCACCCACCUGCAGGCCCUUCAUGGUGGUGCUCCAGCCCUCCGACCCCCAGAACAGGCCGUGCUCCUGUGUGAGAGCAGCACUCCAACAAUCCCACACCUCCCUCCAGCCCAGGAAGAGCUCCCUGCCUGGAGGCUACUGCAGCUCCUUCAGCUCUUCCCUGACAACCGGCCAGCCCUGUGUUCAUGAGCUCUCCUGGGUCCUCUGGGACCUGACCUGAGGCUCCCCAUCACCAGAGCACAUCCCUGCUCUCACUCCCCUCCCCAUCAAAGAUCCCAACUCGGGCCCAGCUCUCGCCCAGGUCACCAGGGUUCUCCCUGACGGUGCCUGGGGUGCAGCAGGAGGGCUCCCACCUUCCCACAGCUCCCUGUGGACCAUGGCACCCUCCGCCUCUUCCCUCUGCCUCCAGGCCUCCCGGGAGGGCUCCUGUCCACAUGGGAAGAUGCAGGCCAGACACUGCCGGCUCCUCUUUACUCUCUGCUCCGGAGGGAGGCAGGAAGGAGUCUCAAGGGCCACCACAGUGCCUCUUCCCCCCAGACCCCAGAGCACCAGAAGUGGAACCCACACAGCUGGGGCUGCAAGCGUGGGGCACAGGUCAUUUCGGGCAGCGGCCUCCAGAAGGACAACACUGGGAGGGAAGAGGACCUGCUUCAGGGGCCCUUGGCUGGCUGCCUCCUUCCGGGGACGCUCCCCAGGACCCUUCUUGCCCUGGGCCUCCUUCUCAGCCUGGGCCCACAUCUUCACCUGCUGGGCGCGCCGCUUCUGGGCAUGCUUCAGCCGCUCCUGCGUGCUCAUCCUGCCCACCAUGGGCAUCUCUGCCAGCAGCUCCAGCUGCUCACACCUGAGAAGUGGGGAACAAGGAAGCAUAUCAGGGCCGGCUUGAGGCAGGGUGGCCCCCGGGAGCCCCUGCCCUGGGCCUCAGCCGGGCGUGGUGGCACGUGCCUGUAGUCCCAGCUACUCGGGAGGCUGAGGCAGGAGAACGGCGUGAACCCGGGAGGCGGAACUUGCAGUGAGCCGAGAUCGCGCCACUGCACUUCAGCCUGGGCGACAGAGCGAGACUCCGAGAAAGAAAGAAAGGAAGAAAGGAAAGAAAGAAGGCGCUCCGUGCUCUGCAGAAGAUGCCUGCCAGGAGCCCUGUUCUCCACGCAGCCAGGCCUCACGGCCAUCUACACACUGACCCGACUCUUCACCGCUGGACUUCUACCCAGCAUUUUAUAGAACAAAAGAUCGGCGGGGCACAGUGGCUCAUACCUGUAAUCCCAGCACUUUGGGAGGCCGAAGCAGGCUGCUCGCUUGAGCCCAAGAGUUCGAGACCAGCCUGGGCAACACAGCGAGACCCCAUCUCAAUUUAUAUUAUAUUAUUUAAAAAAUAAUUAAUGUAAGAGAAAUUAAAACAGAUUUUUAAA